rnacentral:rRNA from 1 species
GAUGAACGCUGGCGGCGUGCCUAAUACAUGCAAGUCGAGCGAACAGACGAGGAGCUUGCUCCUUUGACGUUAGCGGCGGACGGGUGAGUAACACGUGGGUAACCUACCUAUAAGACUGGGAUAACUUCGGGAAACCGGAGCUAAUACCGGAUAAUAUUUCGAACCGCAUGGUUCGAUAGUGAAAGAUGGCUUUGCUAUCACUUAUAGAUGGACCUGCGCCGUAUUAGCUAGUUGGUAAGGUAACGGCUUACCAAGGCAACGAUGCGUAGCCGACCUGACAGGGUGAUAGGCGGCACUGGAGGUGGGACACGGUCCAGACUACUACGGGAGGCAGCAGUAGGGAAUCUUCCGCAAUGGGCGAGAGCAUGACGGAGCAACGGCGCGUGAGAGAUGAAGGUCUUGGGAUCGUGAAGCUCGGUUAUUGGGGAAGAACAAACGUGUAAGUAACUGUGCACGUCUUGACGGUACCUAAUCAGAAAGCCACGGCUAACUACGUG